AGUUUGAUCCUGGCUCAGAGUGAACGCUGGCGGCAGGCCUAACACAUGCAAGUCGAACGGCAGCACAGUAAGAGCUUGCUCUUAUGGGUGGCGAGUGGCGGACGGGUGAGGAAUACAUCGGAAUCUACUCUUUCGUGGGGGAUAACGUAGGGAAACUUACGCUAAUACCGCAUACGACCUACGGGUGAAAGCGGAGGACCUUCGGGCUUCGCGCGGUUGAAUGAGCCGAUGUCGGAUUAGCUAGUUGGCGGGGUAAAGGCCCACCAAGGCGACGAUCCGUAGCUGGUCUGAGAGGAUGAUCAGCCACACUGGAACUGAGACACGGUCCAGACUCCUACGGGAGGCAGCAGUGGGGAAUAUUGGACAAUGGGCGCAAGCCUGAUCCAGCCAUGCCGCGUGGGUGAAGAAGGCCUUCGGGUUGUAAAGCCCUUUCACCGAUGAAGAUAAUGACGGUAGUCGGAGAAGAAGCCCCGGCUAACUUCGUGCCAGCAGCCGCGGUAA
rnacentral:rRNA from 1 species